rnacentral:rRNA from 1 species
AGCGGCGGACGGGUGAGUAACACGUGGGUAACCUGCCGUUGGAAUGGGGAUAACGCCUGGAAACGGGUGCUAAUCCCGAAUGGUUUCCUUUGCCGCAUGGCAGAGGAAGGAAAGGCGCUACGGCGCCGUCCAACGAGGGGCCCGCGGCGCAUUAGCUAGUUGGUGGGGUAAUGGCCUACCAAGGCCGCGAUGCGUAGCCGACCUGAGAGGGUGACCGGCCACACUGGGACUGAGACACGGCCCAGACUCCUACGGGAGGCAGCAGUAGGGAAUCUUCCGCAAUGGGCGAAAGCCUGACGGAGCAACGCCGCGUGAGUGAUGACGGUCUCCGGAUUGUAAAGCUCUGUCAAUUGGGACGAGAGACGGCGAGAGGGAAUGUUCGCCGUGAGACGGUACCGAUGGAGGAAGCCCCGGCUAACUACGUGCCAGCAGCCGCGGUAUACGUAGGGGGCAAGCGUUGUCCGGAAUGACUGGGCGUAAAGCGCGCGCAGGCGGUUUGUCGCGUCUG